rnacentral:rRNA from 1 species
UACGUAGGGUGCGAGCAUUGAUCGGAAUUACUGGGCGUAAAGGGCGCGUAGGCGGCUUGGAAAGUCUUUUGUGAAGUUCCGUGGCUCAACCACGGAGCUGCAGAGGAAACUAAUGAGCUAGAGGUUAGUUAGGGAAAACGGAAUUCCACGUGUAGCGGUGAAAUGCGUAGAUAUGUGGAGGAACACCGGUGGUGAAGACGGUUUUCUGGGCUAAAACAGACGCUGAGGCGCGAAAGCAUGGGGAUCAAACAGG